rnacentral:rRNA from 1 species
UACAGAGGGUGCGAGCGUUAAUCGGAAUUACUGGGCGUAAAGCGUGCGUAGACGGUCAUGUAAGUCGGGUGUGAAAGCCCCGGGCUCAACCUGGGAAUUGCAUUCGAGACUGCAUGGCUAGGGUGCGGAAGGGGGAAGCGGAAUUUCCGGUGUAGCGGUGAAAUACGUAGAUAUCGGAAGGAACACCAGUGGCGAAAGCGGCUUCCUGGUCCAGCACCGACGUUCAGGCACGAAAGCGUGGGGAGCAAACAGG